CUCUCUCCAAUUCUUACAUAAAAACAAUCUAGGGUAUUAAAUUUAUUUGAGCAGAGAGAAUCGAUUUUGCUUUUCCGGUUUGAUUAAAUUGAGGAAAGAUCCAAAAGUUUGAACAAGUGUUGUCAUCGAUGGCGAUGAUAAAGCCACCAGGGAAGGAGGAGCAUCAUUGCAGUAGAAUUUACAAUCCUAGAAACAAUCUUCAACUAACUGAUCUACAGAUUCGACACUAAUUCAUCAGCGAUCUAUGUAUACAGAUAAGUAUCAUCUUCUCUUUGUCAUGAUGCUUUAAUUGAGAGAUUUUAUUUGAUUGAAUUUUCAAAAAAAAAAAAAAGAAAAAAAAAAGAAUUAUGAAUAAAAAUUUCAUAUUUGUUCUUCGUCUAGCUCGUCCUAACUGUCGAUUUCUAGUUGAGAUCCAAAACUGAUUUGAGAUUCGGUAUCAGCGAGUCAUCAUCUCUAUUACCCAUGUAUUUGAUUUGAAUUUCAUCAGUCAUUAAUUUUUUUUUAUUUCAUCUACUCUUGAUAGAUUUCAUACAGUUUGUUUUAAGUUGUUUAAAUAGUAACAACAUAAGCAAUUUGGUGAUACUGAGCUAUGUACCUCUAAUAAAACUAUGCCUUCAAUUUCAUUAUCAGUUCAAUCUUCUACUGUAGUUUCAUUAUGUUGGCAGAAACCGAGAAAGAAAAUGGUUUUUGUUGGCUACUAGCCAUGGUAUUUGUUUGCUUAACUUGUUUUUUAAUGCAAUGCUAAUGAAACUUAUAAAACUGUAGUUUUUUGAUAACUGAAUAGGUCAUUUUACAUAGUAGAAAGAGGUGGUAGUGGUGGAGGUGUAGGUGUAGGUUUUAGAGGAGGAUUAUGGAGCCGGUGAUGGUGAUGGGGGUGGUAUUGCAGUUAGUGUAACUGGAGAAAGAAUAUGUAUCAUAUGGGUGUGAUAGGUUGUAUAGUAAGUUUUAUAUAACGAUUUGAGCCUGCUGUAUUAGAUAGGUGUGAUAUGAUAUGGAAUUUAUCUCUAACUCGCUCAUAACAUCUUACGUCGUACUAUUGCAGAUUACUUGGUGGGCAUUCAAAAGACAGUAGAUAUUUUGGAACAAGUUCUACCUCCUGUUGGGGGUGACAGGCGGUCCAGCUGUUAUAGACAAGAUCGAGAUGUUUGAGAUUAUCAGAUGAAAGCAAUUCUGAAGCUCUUGAUGUACAAGGAUUGCUUAGACACCGCUUACCUCUGGAUGGAGCACAAGCCAGAUCAAAAUGGGAAUACAAAAUCCUGAACAUAUCGGAGUUUAAUAACAAAAGAAAGCUAAUUAUGCAAGAUCUGGAUGGCCAGAUUCUUCUUAUAUGCAAAGGUGCAAGCAGACUCCUUGCAGUCAUAAUUUCUGUUUAAAAUGUUUUGAGAAAUGGGUGAAGGCGAAGAAACCAGGAAAAUCUAAGCAAUACAAGGAUCCUACUUUAACAAAUAUGACGACAUUCAUUAUGUGGUCAGAUCUUCCCAAAGGUUGCCAAUAACUUCUACAAAAGGGACUUGAAGAGUGCAACUUUUGCAAGGUUGACCACUGUGCACACGAGUCUGUUGUUAAGAAAAGGAAUUGACAGACUUUCUAAGAAAUCCAACAUGGUUUAAUAAUGCAAUUGAUCUUUGUUUUUUUUCUGCAGACGUCACAAGUAUUUUUGAUAUAUUAAUGUUCAAGAGUUUGAAUACUAG